rnacentral:rRNA from 1 species
UCCACGCCCUAAACGAUGAACACUAGUCGUCGGGAUGCUAGUCAUCUCGGUGAUGCACUUAACAGAUUAAGUGUUCCGCCUGGGGAGUACGGUCGCAAGAUUAAAACUCAAAGGAAUAGACGGGGACCCGCACAAGUGGUGGAGCAUGUGGUUUAAUUCGAAAAUACGCGAAGAACCUUACCUAGCCUUGACAUUGAAGAAACACACGUGCUACAAUGGUUAGGACAAUGAGA